UACGUAGGGUGCGAGCGUUGUCCGGAAUUAUUGGGCGUAAAGAGCUCGUAGGCGGUCUGUCGCGUCGGUCGUGAAAACUUGGGGCUUAACCCUGAGCUUGCGGUCGAUACGGGCAUGACUGGAGUUCGGUAGGGGAGACUGGAAUUCCUGGUGUAGCGGUGAAAUGCGCAGAUAUCAGGAGGAACACCCGUGGCGAAGGCGGCUCUCUGGGACGGUACUGACGCUGAGACGCGAAAGCGUGGGGAGCGAACAGG
rnacentral:rRNA from 1 species